CGCCUACUGGCGCCCUAGCAACCGGGUUGCGAACCAUGUUCUAUCCCGACUAAGUGGCCGUCCUGGGAGUUAUAGUGCCACUAGCCGGCCUCGGCUGUUCCCUGUCCGAGGCUCUUGUCAUUUCCGCUUAUUUCCUCCACGGGUGCCGAUUUCAUGUGUGUGUUCCCGAGUGCCUGAGCCGGCUCCCGAAAUGAGUACUCGUGGUUUCCGCGUGGGAACCAACCUCGAGCGCCAGUGGCCCGCCCUCUCCGGGCUGAGGUGGCUGCUGAGGCUGGGGCUGCUCCUGAGGCUUCAGGGCCGCCCGCUGCACGGCUUUCUACCUUCCCAGGUUAGCCGCGGUCAACUUCUGCCAGGCGGAGCGAGAAAUCGCAUUUUGUCAGGGGCUGCAGCAUGCUGAAAGAAAACAGAAGCCUGUGGAGUGAGCCAAGAUCAACCAGGAAAUAAACCCUUUCCCUUGCGAUGUCUCUCCAGCGCCCUCUACUGACAAACCUGCUUUAGUGCCAGUUUGUAGAGAUAGAGUUUCAUUCUUUUGCCCAGGCUGGAGUGAAGUGGUGUGAUCUCGGCUCACUGCAACCUCCGUACCCCAGGUUCAAGUGAUUCUCCUGCCUCAGCCUCCUGAGUAGCUGGGAUUAUAGGUGCCCGAUACCACAC
rnacentral:lncRNA from 1 species